rnacentral:rRNA from 1 species
UCAAAUCUCGGGGUUACAGCCUUGCUGAAUUAUUCACCCUUGUCUUUUGCGUACUUCUUGUUUCCUUGGUGGGUUCGCCCACCACUAGGACAAACAUAAACCUUUUGUAAUUGCAAUCAGCGUCAGUAACAAAUUAAUAAUUACAACUUUCAACAACGGAUCUCUUGGUUCUGGCAUCGAUGAAGAACGCAGCGAAAUGCGAUAAGUAGUGUGAAUUGCAGAAUUCAGUGAAUCAUCGAAUCUUUGAACGCACAUUGCGCCCUUUGGUAUUCCAAAGGGCAUGCCUGUUCGAGCGUCAUUUGUACCCUCAAGCUUUGCUUGGUGUUGGGCGUCUUGUCUCUAGCUUUGCUGGAGACUCGCCUUAAAGUAAUUGGCAGCCGGCCUACUGGUUUCGGAGCGCAGCACAAGUCGCACUCUCUAUCAGCAAAGGUCUAGCAUCCAUUAAGCCUUUUUUUCAACUUUUGACCUCGGAUCAGGUAGGGAUACCCGCUGAACUUAAGCAUAUCAAUAAAGC